rnacentral:pre_miRNA from 1 species
GUACUACUCCCUCUGUUCGGAAUUACUUGUCUCGGAAAUGGAUGUAUCUAGAACUAAAAUAUGUCUAGAUACAUCCAUUUUCACGACAAGUAAUUCCGAACGGAGGGAGUACAAG